AAUUCUCAGUCCUCCUUUUUGGAACUCCCAACCUCUUCUCUCUGACUGAAUGAUUCAGUGAAGUUUAGCGUUCCAAUUUGAAUUUUUGAAUUGGGAAUUUGAUUAAUGGCACGGAUUUUAAUGGGAUUCGUUCAGAAUGACUCGACACGUUAGAAGGAAAAAAAAGUCAUCUUACUCAUGUAUGAAGCACAUUUAAUUGUAUCACGACCAACAAAUGCUCAAGACCUGGAAUGUGGCAAGCAACUCGUUGGGCUAGUGAGAACCUAUCGUCCUCUAGAAGAGAGAUCAAGUUUGCACUGUGGGCGUGAUAUCGACAUCCCUACCUAAAUAAUGGAUAUUGUUCAUUGCAGACCACCCACUCGAGUCUUCCUUGACUGCUUGAACAACACCGUUCACCCCCAUCAUCAACCAUUACCAGUCCAUCAACCAACCAACCACCUUGGCGCUAACCGCAAAAGAGGGUUUCGUAUAUGAGAAUUGGAGAAUGACUUGAAUUUUCCUGGGAAUUCGAAUGCAUUUUAUUUCGGCUCCUCGAGAUGAUGAAUCCCCGUCUAAAUGCAUUCUCGGCCUUCUCAUCGUGUAUGUAUAUCACCUUAGAAACACUGCUACAACCACUAGCAGCAGCAACAACAACAGCAACAUUUCACCCACACAAGAGUAUCUUUAUCUGGUUUCAACGAUCCAGAAUUUGCUUGAAAAAAAAAGCUCGUCGAUGGAUCUUGAGCAUAACAUCCUGGACUCAAGUGUGCUUGUGUGCUUUGCUUGCUUGCUGGGCAAGAGUGGUGGUGUCCAUUGAGGACCACGAGGUAUAAUGGACCGCUCAGGAGAUCCGAUCUAAUCUCAUAAUCACUUUCAUUUCUCUGGGACAAUGUUCCAUGAUGCACGUAUGGGCUUGUUCUGAAAGGCACUUUCCAUUAUUUGACCAUUGGGUUGGAUCACUUAAACACUCAGCGGUGGCUGAUGGAAUCACAACUUCCCAUGGGUUCCCCUUCUCAAUGUACGGCGUACGUACGUGUACUAACUCAUGACUGCCGAACUCGCAAUGGACGUAGAGCCGUUGGCCUCAAAGGGCUUUCAUAUUCAGCCAAAAAAACUGAUCAAUAGAAUUUACUCGAUGG